CGGGAUAUAGCGCAGCUUGGUAGCGCACCAUCUUGGGGUGAUGGAAGUCGCAGGUUCAAAUCCUGCUAUUCCGA
rnacentral:tRNA from 1 species